rnacentral:rRNA from 1 species
GACGAACGCUGGCGGCGUGCCUAACACAUGCAAGUCGAGCGGUAAGGCCCUUUCGGGGAUACACGAGCGGCGAACGGGUGAGUAACACGUGGGUGACCUGCCCUUAGCUCUGGGAUAAGCCUGGGAAACUGGGUCUAAUACCGGAUAUGACUCCAUGACGCAUGUUGUGGGGUGGAAAGCCUUGUGCGGCUAGGGAUGGGCCCGCGGCCUAUCAGCUUGUUGGUGGGGUGAUGGCCUACCAAGGCGACGACGGGUAGCCGGCCUGAGAGGGCGACCGGCCACACUGGGACUGAGACACGGCCCAGACUCCUACGGGAGGCAGCAGUGGGGAAUCUUGCGCAAUGGGCGAAAGCCUGACGCAGCGACGCCGCGUGGGGA